rnacentral:rRNA from 1 species
GCCCCAGACUCCUACGGGAGGCAGCAGUGAGGAAUAUUGGUCAAUGGGCGCGAGCCUGAACCAGCCAAGUCGCGUGAGGGAAGACGGUCCUAUGGAUUGUAAACCUCUUUUGUCAGGGAGCAACGCCGGCUACGUGUAGCCGGACUGAGAGUACCUGAAGAAAAAGCAUCGGCUAACUCCGUGCCAGCAGCCGCGGUAAUACGGAGGAUGCGAGCGUUAUCCGGAUUUAUUGGGUUUAAAGGGUGCGCAGGCGGCACGGCAAGCCGGCGGUCAAAUCGCGGGGCUCACCCCCGCCCAGCCGUCGGAACUGCCGGGCUAGAGUGGGCGAGAAGUGCGCGGAAUGCGUGGUGUAGCGGUGAAAUGCAUAGAUAUCACGCAGAACUCCGAUUGCGAAGGCAGCAUACCGGCGCCCAACUGACGCUGAAGCACGAAAGCGUGGGUAUCGAACAGGAUUAGAUACCCCAGUA